AUUGAACGCUGGCGGAAUGCUUUACACAUGCAAGUCGAACGGUAGAGGGGGCAACCCCUCGAGAGUGGCGAACGGGUGAGUAAUAUAUCGGAACGUGCCCAGUCGUGGGGGAUAACGUAGCGAAAGUUACGCUAAUACCGCAUACGAUCUAAGGAUGAAAGCGGGGGAUCGCAAGACCUCGCGCGAUUGGAGCGGCCGAUAUCAGAUUAGGUAGUUGGUGGGGUAAAGGCUCACCAAGCCAACGAUCUGUAGCUGGUCUGAGAGGACGACCAGCCACACUGGAACUGAGACACGGUCCAGACUCCUACGGGAGGCAGCAGUGGGGAAUUUUGAACAAUGGACGCAAGUCUGAUCCAGCCAUUCCGCGUGCAGGAUGAAGGCCCUCGGGUUGUAAACUGCUUUUGUACAGAACGAAAAGGUUUCUACUAAUACUAGGAGCUCAUGACGGUACUGUAAGAAUAAGCACCGGCUAACUACGUGCCAGCAGCCGCCGUAA
rnacentral:rRNA from 1 species